UUGAGAGUUUGAUCCUGGCUCAGAACGAACGCUGGCGGCAGGCCUAACACAUGCAAGUCGAGCGCACUCUUCGGAGUGAGCGGCGGACGGGUUAGUAACGCGUGGGAAUGUACCCUUUUCUACGGAAUAGUCUCGGGAAACUGGGGUUAAUACCGUAUACGCCCUUCGGGGGAAAGAUUUAUCGGAGAAGGAUCGGCCCGCGUUAGAUUAGAUAGUUGGUGGGGUAAUGGCCUACCAAGUCUACGAUCUAUAGUUGAUUUGAGA
rnacentral:rRNA from 1 species